rnacentral:rRNA from 1 species
UAGGGAAUCUUCGGCAAUGGACGAAAGUCUGACCGAGCAACGCCGCGUGAGUGAAGAAGGUUUUCGGAUCGUAAAACUCUGUUGUUAGAGAAGAACAAGGACGUUAGUAACUGAACGUCCCCUGACGGUAUCUAACCAGAAAGCCACGGCUAACUACGUGCCAGCAGCCGCGGUAAUACGUAGGUGGCAAGCGUUGUCCGGCAUUAUUCGGCGUAAAGCGAGCGCAGGCGGUUUCUUAAGUCUGAUGUGAAAGCCCCCGGCUCAACCGGGGAGGGUCAUUGGAAACUGGGAGACUUGAGUGCAGAAGAGGAGAGUGGAAUUCCAUGUGUAGCGGUGAAGUGCGUAGAUAUAUGGAGGAACACCAGUGGCGAGGGCGGCUCUCUGGGCUGUAACUGACGCUGAGGCUCGAAAGCGUGGGGAGCAAACAGG